rnacentral:lncRNA from 1 species
CUGAUCAAGCAAUUGCUGCUGGCCUGGCUUGAGAGUCCAUUUCUGGGAAAGCUGAAACAGUAACUAAGUUUCGGUUUGAUGAUGUGGGGCCUUGCAUGAGUGACUCCAUUUUGGGCCUAUUGUCUUAUUUUUAACAUAUGCCUGGGAGCCUCCAUACGCCGUGGGAGCGGCCCAAGAAAUAGCACAAAGACAAAUAAAUAGAAGUUCCCGUCGUGGCGCAGUGGCUAACGAAUCCGACUAGGAACCAUGAGGUUGCGGGUUCAGUCCCUGGCCUCGCUCAGUGGGUUAAAGAUCUGGCGUUGCAGUGAGCUGUGAUGUAGGUUGCAGAUGCAGCUCGGAUUCCGUGUUGCUGUGGCUCUGGCGUAGGCCAGUGGCUACAGCUCCGAUUCACCCCCUGGCCUGGGAACCUCCAUAUGCUGCGGGAGCGGCCCAAGAAAUAGCAAAAAGACAAAUAAAUAAAUAAAAUAAAAAUAAAUGGGUGCGAAGUGGUACCCGACUAUGGUUUUGAUGUGCCUCUCCCUCAUGGUGAACGAUAGUGAGCAUCUUUUCAUGAGUUCCUGGGCCGGCCACACAUAUCUUCUUUGGAGAAAUGUCUGCUCAAAUCCUUUGCCCAUUUUUUCUUUUUUCCAGUUGGUUUACUGGCCUUGUUUAUUGUUGAGUUUUUAGCAUUCUGUAGGUAUGCUGGACACAAGUUCCUUCUCAGACCGUUUUUGACUUUGAAGAAACAUCGAAAUCAGAUGGGAGCUGGGGUUGCAGCUUUAACCGUUGGUGGAGUUCAUUGCCAGGUGACAGAAACCUUGCGAAGAAUGCAUUUCAUCCCACGCAGAGGGUUCCUGCAGGGACAGACCCUGCAGGGGAAGCGUGCGGAUCUUUCUGGGCAGGCCUGGGCCCGCUCUCUUCAAUUACACCCCGUUCAAAAUCUCUGCCAAAGAGGAGUUUGAGAGAUGUAACAAGCUGGAGGAGGGUAGGGAUGCUGGUUGGUUAGUGUAUUGAAGGCAGAAUCGCCUGGGGAAUUUUUCAUUUCUGUUUUUUCUUUUUCAAGGAGCAUAGCCUUUUAUUUCUUGAGCAAAUGAGAUGGCACAGAGAAAAGUAUUUUGGAAUUACAAAGAGAUGCAAAAGUAAGGUGAUAUUCUUAUUGUGACUAUUGUUAGUUGUAGGAACCAAUGAAAACCCUCUCUCUGGGAGGAAAUCAGAGCCUGUGCGCAGGGGGAGAGCGGGCAGGGGGUUGGUGGUGGGGCGUGAGGGGGGAUAUGAGAGGAUGAAGAUGAAACCUAAAAGGGAGAGGACGGCGGUGGCAGAGUUUGCAAACCUUGGUUACCUGUGUGUGAGAUGAGAGUGACAUCUUCGUGAUUUCUGGCGUAUUCUGUCUAAUUAUCUACUUAAUAUUUUUCUUUAGAUGGGCUCCUAUUUCUUUUCCUUAAACAUAUAUUUAUAAAGGAAACAUAUCACAGUUAAAAAUGGCAAACCUGCAUCAUUUUCAAAACGGAAGGGACAGGACAAACCAAUAGAAGGAAAACCGCAGAGCGUCCUUAAGCUCUAGCUGGAGGGGUUGUUUCCGAGCCUGGAAAACUCUGCAGACUUCUCGGCCUGGCUCCCCUCUCCUGGUCCCUCAGGUCCCUGCCCCAAAGGCCUCUCUGCAGGCAGCUUCUCAAGCCCACCCACCUCCACCCUGGCUUUCCUUCUUUCAUAGCGCUUCGAUGAAUAGGUGUGGGUUUUCCUAUGGCUUCUGGCCUCCUCACACUGGCUGUCUCCACCGCCGGGCUCAGUACAUGGGUGUCGAGUAAGGAGUCACGAUAAACUCUGAGCGGCAGGUUAGAGUUUGAUCUGUGCCUGCGGCCCCUCCCACCUCAGAAACUGGAAGGCUGAGCGAGACUUGAGAAGGAGGCAGCCUUCUGGGGCCUGAUCCUGUGACCUUUCCCCAGGACCAGGGCACCCAGGCUCCAGUUCGUCCCCGGCCAGUAGCCAGCUGAGUGACCCCGCAGCAUCACUGAACCUGGCCAGCUUCCACCCUCCCCAGAGCUCCUGGAGCGUGACAGGUAGACACUCCUCCGACAGACACACCUGGCAGAGAAGCUGCUCAGUCCAUGAGAACAGAUGCUCAGAGGGUUUAUGGAAAAAGCGAUAAACCGUGGACUUUGCCUGCUAACAUCCUACCCUUUCUUCCAUGUCCGAUUUUAUUUAAUUCGUUUUUUGAAGUGAGAAUUUAAUUUGUGUGUGUGUGUGUCUUUUGUCUUUUUAGGGCCACACCCGCAGCAUAGGGAGGUUCCCAGGCUAGGGGUCGAAUUGGAGCUGAAGCCGCCGGCCUACACCACAGCCACAGCAACGCAGGAUCUGAGUCACGUCUUCGACCUACACCACAGCUCACGGCAUCGCCGGAUCCUUCACCCACUGAGCGAGGCCAGGGAUCAAAUGCUCGUCCUCAUGGACCUUAGGUUCACUAACACUGAGCCACGAUGGGAACUCCGGAAUUUAGUUUUUUAUUGAAGUAGAGUUGACUUACGUUGUUGUGUUAGUUUCAGGUAUAUAACAAAGUGAUUCAGUUACACACACAUAAAUGUCUGUUUUUUUCAGAUUCUUUUCCCGUAUUACAAAAUACUGAGUAGCGUUCCCUGUGCUAUGCCGUAGUCCUUGCUGGUUACCUAGUUAAUAGAUAGUAGUGUAUAUGCGAAUCCUCAACACCUCAUUUAUUCCUCGAUAGACUCACGGGCAUAGAAAACAAACUUAUUACCAAAGGGAAAGGAGGGGCGGGAGAAUACAGUUUUGAAAUUGCUCACAUUCAAUGUACAUCUACUUUGUCAGGCCCAGUUUUAAAGAGUAAUAGAGUUUACCUUUUACUGAGAACUCAUUAUGCCCCAGGCACCUUGCUAAAUAAGAGGUUUGUAUAUUUACCAUUUAAUGACAGCCUUGCAGGAGUCCUAUAAAGUAGGGAUUUAUUAUUCCCAUUUUACUGAUGAGGGAACUGAGGCUCAGAGGAGUUUUAUGACUUGCCCAAGGUGAUGCAGCAAGAAGUGAUGCAGCCAGCCCACAUGUUACCCACCACAUGUUAACACCCAUGUAAAUGUCACCACCUACGUGAAGAUUCCCACCCAGCCGUCUCUUCUUCUAAAUACUCAUAACGCAUAUGACCUCUGAGACGACACCUGCGCAGUUUCCCUUGGGGUGUGUGCACCUGCGUGCGUGUUUGUGCGUGUGUGCGCAUGUGUGUGGCAAGUAUUCGUUCCUCGAGGGCUGAGACAACCCUCACCAUCUGUCCCCAGAGUCAAGCCAAGCACCCGGGGUAGGUACCUCACCUGUCCUGUCAAGUAAAUAAGGACUCCUGGGUUUCUCCUGGGUUCUUCCUCUCCAUGGGGGACAGAGGAAGAGGAGCAACAUGGGUACAGGGACAAGGAUGCAGACACGGACACAACGAGGGUGGCUGUGCAGACCUGGGGACAGGACAGCUUUGGGGGGACCCUCCUGGCCUUCAGCGUUGAUGUCUAGGCUGGACCGCAUCAUUCUAGACUCACUCUCCAUUCUGUGCUCUGUGCCCACAGCAGACGGGAGGAAGGGGAGGGGGUGACACCGGGGUAUUGAUUCCAUGGGCAUAGGGCCAGGACUGGCAGCUGCCCUGUGCUUCCUAGCCCAGAUUCCAUACUGUCCUGGCUGGUUUCCACACACUCUGACCUUGACUUUGGAGAGUCCCUUUCUUAGACCCUCUGCCUAUUAUCCUCAUCUGAGUGUGCCCGUUGCUCCCUCGGGGACCUGACCGAUGGGGUAGAAGGCCCUUUUCUGUGCUCUUUGGGCCACUUUGUGACAUCAGGGUCCAAGCUGACUCAUCUCUGUGUCCCCACACCUGGCAUAGUGCUUGGGACUAAUGGUUCUAGUAGCUGAUACCUACCGAGCCCUUAUUAUGCACCAGGCCUCUUUACCCGUCUGAAUUCAGUCCUCACAACAAUCCCAUGAUCGCUGGCCCCAUUUUACAGAUGAGGAAACUAAGUAAGGCACAGAGAGACUGAGUAACUUGCUCAAGGUCACAUGUCUUGUCAUCAUGCAGCCGAUCUGGGAUUCGAACCCGGGCAGUGUGACUCCUGAGCCAACAGUAUGACUCUCACACCUUUUAUGGGCUGCCUUUCUGUCUGCUGUUCUGGGGGUGAUAUGGCCCCGAGGACCACAGGAAUCU